UACGGAGGGUGCGAGCGUUGUCCGGAAUCAUUGGGCGUAAAGGGCGCGUAGGUGGCCACUUCAAUCGUGCGGUGAAAGUCGGGGGCUCAACCCCUGAUCGGCCGUGCGAACUGGGGGGCUGGAGCACUGUAGAGGCAGGCGGAAUUCCGGGUGUAGCGGUGGAAUGCGUAGAGAUCCGGAAGAACACCGGUGGCGAAGGCGGCCUGCUGGGCAGUUUUGCUGACACUGAGGCGCGACAGCGUGGGGAGCAAACAGG
rnacentral:rRNA from 1 species